UACGUAGGGGGCUAGCGUUGUCCGGAAUCAUUGGGCGUAAAGCGCGUGUAGGCGGCCAUCUAAGUCGGGCGUGAAAUCCCACGGCUCAACCGUGGAAGUGCACUCGAAACUGGAUGGCUAGAGUCCUGGAGAGGAAGGUGGAAUGCUUGGUGUAGAGGUGAAAUUCGUAGAUAUCAAGCGGAACACCGGUGGCGAAGGCGGCCUUCUGGACAGUGACUGACGCUGAGACGGCGAAAGCGUGGGGAGCAAACAGG
rnacentral:rRNA from 1 species